rnacentral:rRNA from 1 species
UACAGAGGUCUCAAGCGUUGUUCGGAUUCAUUGGGCGUAAAGGGUGCGUAGGCGGCGCGGUAAGUCGGAUGUGAAAUCUCGGAGCUUAACUUCGAAAUUGCAUUCGAUACUGCCGUGCUUGAGGACUGGAGAGGAGACUGGAAUUUACGGUGUAGCGGUGAAAUGCGUAGAUAUCGUAAGGAAGACCAGUGGCGAAGGCGGGUCUCUGGACAGUUCCUGACGCUGAGGCACGAAGGUCAGGGGAGCAAACGGG